UGGGUAAUACUUGAAUAGGGUCAAAGUCAGCCUUCCAAGCUGGUAGCGUGGGUUCGAUUCCCAUCACCCGC
rnacentral:tRNA from 1 species